GCUGUCGUCAGCUCGUGUUGUGAAAUGUUGGGUUAAGUCCCGCAACGAGCGCAACCCUUAUCCUUUGUUGCCAGCGGUCCGGCCGGGAACUCAAAGGAGACUGCCAGUGAUAAACUGGAGGAAGGUGGGGAUGACGUCAAGUCAUCAUGGCCCUUACGACCAGGGCUACACACGUGCUACAAUGGCGCAUACAAAGAGAAGCGACCUCGCGAGAGCAAGCGGACCUCAUAAAGUGCGUCGUAGUCCGGAUUGGAGUCUGCAACUCGACUCCAUGAAGUCGGAAUCGCUAGUAAUCGUGGAUCAGAAUGCCACGGUGAAUACGUUCCCGGGCCUUGUACACACCGCCCGUCACACCAUGGGAGUGGGUUG
rnacentral:rRNA from 1 species